UUAAUUUAUUUAUUUAAAAUACUUUUUGCACAUUGUACAACGGCGGACUUAACGCCUGAGGCGUUCUCUGCCAGUCUACCUUUGGGUGGUGGUGAAAUAGAAGUGGUAGGUGCAACACAAUUUGAGCAUCAGUGGAAGAUAAUAAAAAUAUAUAUUUAUGCAUAUAUAAACAUAAUAUAUAUAUAUAUAUAACUAUAUAACUAUAUAUAUAUACAACUGUAUCCAGGAGUAUGUAGGAGAAGAUAGUAAGAAAAAUGAACUACUGUAAUGAUUCCGCCAACUUGCCAUGGAUGUGAUUUCGCAGUUUCAUUUUAAAAGUGUGUCGACUAUUUACCAUCCUGACCUCCAGAGGUAGCUCAUUCCAGAGAAGAAUAGAUUUCACAAAGAAGGAAGAGUGAAUAAUGUCUGAACGGUGAGCAGGGCAGUGAAGAAGACGAUUAUUAGAGGAGCGGAGAUUUUUGCUGUGCUGAGAACACACAUACUGAAAGUGAGAGGUUAAGUAGGAAGGUGAGGACGGGGUAUAAAGUAUAGAAAAAAGAGUAGUUAAUGCCCUCAUCACACGUCGUUGUCUUAUCGGUAGCCAUUUAAGUUGCGCUCGAUACGCUGACACAUGAUCGUACUUGCGAAGAUUAAAAACGAAUCGAAUGCAAUUAUUGAGAAGCCGGUCGAGUUUAUUGAGCAGAUCUGCAUUCAGGUCAUAGUAGCAAACAUCACCAUAGUCGAUUAUAGGAAAGAUUAAGGUUUGCAUAAGCAUUGCUUUUACAUGGAACGGGAGCAAGUUUUUGAAGCGAUAAAGAAACCGCAGUGUACUAGUGAUUUUUUGGCUGACAGCUGCAACUUGUGCUUGCCAAUUGAGUGAAGAGUCAAGAUGAAGGCCCAAAUUCUUCACUGAGCAGCUGAACGGUAUAUUUAUCCCGUCAAAUACCAAAGUUGGUAACCCAAGUGCGUCUACUUUACCUAAAUUUCUUGAGCUACCAAUGAUAAUAGCUUGGCAUUUAACAGGAUUGACUGCCACUCCGAACCUGUCAGACCAACUUUUGACUACCUCCAAGUCUUUGUUCAUUUUAACAAGCGCAGCUGCCAACUCAUUCACUUUUGUGUGACGAUACAACUGCAAGUCAUCGGCAUAGAGAUGAUAUGAACACUGAAGCUCAGGAGUAAGGAAAUUUAUAAAUAUGGAGAAUAACAGAGGUGAGAGUAUGCCGCCUUGAGGAACGCCAGCAUUCAAAGAACACCAGGCAGAUGAAUCCUCAUCCACCCGAACCGAUUGCUGGCGAUCAUGAAGAUAAGAGGAAAACCAGUCUGACGCCUUAGAAGAGACCAUAAGAUGUGAUAGAAUAGAUAAAAGGAUGUCGUGACUGACGGUAUUGAACGCAUUUGAAAAAUCCACGAGUACCAACACUGUGAGAUUAGCGUCUUCCAUAGCAAAUCUAAUAUCGCCAGUCACUUUGAGGAGGGCAGAAGAAGUGCUGUGGCCCGGCCUAAAUCCGGAUUGGAAAGGGCUCAGUAGCUCAUUGCCGUAGAUAAAACGAGCAAAUUGCUUAUGAGCACAAGCCUCAAGCACUUUGGAUAAGAAAGGUAGGAUAGAAAUUGGACGAAAGUGACUGGGGAGAGUAGGGCUGGAAAUUUUGGGAAGAGGACGCACGUAAGCUUUCCGCCAGAGUGAAGGGAAAACUCCAGAGUAGAACGAAAAGUUUACAAUAUGAGUGAUAACAGGAAGGAUUGGGACUAGGAUAUGGACAAUCAUCUGACGGCUGAUGUUAUCACACCCCACCGCCUUAGAUUUUAUGGACAGGAUAAUCUUUUUGACCUCUUCCUCGUCGACUGGCAUAAAAUCAAAAGAUUUGAUAUCGGGACGCGUUAGACCAUUUAUAUAAUUGAGAGUAUCUUGCUUCAUUAAAUAGUCCAAACGAGAGGAAGAAGAAGUGCAGAAAUAACUAUUUAAAGCAUCAAAACUAAUUGUGUUAGGCAGGUCCAAAUGUCGCGACUUGCCAAUACCCAGAGUUCCAAGAAACUUCCAGAUGUCAGCAGAAGACGAAGAUGAUAUAUUAUUCAAUAUAUGGCGGCGUUUAGCAUUACGUAUCAUCAUAUUACACCGAUUCCUCGCAGUCUUAAACAGAGCCCAGUUUUCAUCACUACGGUCUUUUUUAAAUUUACGGUACGCACGGUCCCGCCUGCGCAUUGCUAUACGUAUGAGUUCAGUCAUCCAUGGUGCUGGCGGCCGUUUCACUCUGACUCUUUUGACUGGUGCAUGGCGAUCAUAUAAAAUGUUCACCAUGUUAUUAAAAAUCAAAAUUUUAUGAUCCACAUCAUCGGAAGUCAUUAAUGGAGUCCAAUCAAUGUCUAGCGCAUCCUUGAACAACCGCUCAGCAUCCAUCCUUGCAAAGCAACGCCUAUGCAAAAUCUUAGGCUUGGGCUUAGGUGGUUUAAGGAUAUAGGAGAGGAAAAUGAGGUCGUGGUGAGAAAAACCAGGGGCGGUAUAUUGACCGUGACAGGAAAUAAGGGAGAGGUUAGACGUCAGAAUUAAGUCCAGCCAGGAAUCAUCACCAAUCGUAGACCGGUGAGUAGCCUGAAGAGGUAAAAUAUGCAAGCUGGAUGACUCCAAAACGUGCAAGAGUUUACGGGUACGAGGAGAGUUGGGAGCAAGGAGAUUUGUAUUAAAAUCACCCAUGAUGAUGUAAUGAGCAUACUCAGAACCUAACGAUUCUAAAACCGAUUCCAAAUCAGUGAAGUAGUCGACAGAGGGGGGGCAAUAAACAACACCAACGACGGCUUUCGCUCCUUUAACUGAAACCUCCAAAAAGAGAAAUUCAGCACUAGGCAUAGAACUAGAAGAAGUAGCCAAGAUCUUAUAAGGAAAGUCCGAUCGAAGGUAUAUUGCCACGCCUCCCCCUCUUCUCCCAAGUCGAUCAUUCCGAAUAAGAACGAAGCCAGGAAGAGGGUAAGAUGUGGAUAAGAGAUUUGGUUUGAGCCAGGUCUCGGAAAUCAGGACGGCAUGCACAUUGCUGUUGGAAAAAGUCUCGCAUAGUUCACUAUAGUGACUAGGAACACUUUGAGCGUUAAUAUGACACACAUUUAACACUUUAACUGUUUGUUUGAAUUGAUUUCUCAAUGUAUCCCCAAGUGUAUCAGUCAGAGAACAGAAACUAACAUCACUAUUACUCACAUCCAAAGACUCAUUAGCAGAAUGAAAACAGUCGUCAUCAGAAGACAUAAAUCCUAAAUAUAUAGAUAAAAAAUAAAUAAAAAUAUAUAACUAUAAAAAUAAAAAUAAUUAGCAAUUUUAAAAACAAAGACAACAACAGAAUUUACCUCCACCCGCCAGCUAACACCAAUAAAUAAUUAGAAUCAGCAACAUAAAACAAAAAUAAAAACGUAGUUGACAUCCAUAAGAAAUGAAAAACGAUACAAAAAUAAAUAAAAGAAGAAUGAAACUAUUUCUGGACGAAACAUUGACUGACAUUUUAGUAAUGUGACAGCUGACAAUGACAUUUCGACAAAUAAAAGUAAAGUAACCAAGAAUAGAAGUUAAGCUAUCCAAACGUUAAUUAAUUCUUAAUCUAUUUGCGGGUAAUUAACAAAUUGAAAUAGAAAUAACAAAGUUAUUAUAAAUUUAACAAAAUUUGUUAAGGAAAAAAAGGAUAAAACAUUCCAAAGAGAAAAAUAAAUAAAAUAAGAACAUUAGAUUACGAAAAUAAAAUAUCAAAAUAAACAAUAAGUCCUCUCAAGAAGUUAUGCAGCAUUUGUUUUUGAAGGAUACUUCUCCAGGAGAGGCUUUAGCUCAUCCAUCGACACAAUCCUGUGGCGGCUGCCAUCCGAUGCCUUAAUGACUAUCAUGCCAUCCUGUGUCCAACAAGCACGCAUACCGAAAUGCAGCCGUGCCUUCGCGAAGAUGGACUGCCUGGCUUUCGUCAGGAACUCCUUGACUGAGACUUUGGUGCCUCUCAACCUAGUCUUAGCCCUCCAAACAGUUGACUUGACAUCCCAAGAAGCAAACCUCACAAGAAUGGGCCGUGCAUGAUCCUUACUAGGACUGCCAAGUCGGUGGGCAACUUUUAUGCUGGGUGCUGCUAUGUCCUUUAGACCCAAUUUGCUGCUGAGGACACCAAGGACCAUGGAAAGGCAGUCCUCAUUCUCUUCUUCAGGAAGCCCUUGAAAGAUCAAUGCCUUUCGACGGUGCCUCAUCUCCAACCCAUCAAUGUGCAGCACACACUCGGCUAUCUGCUUCCUGAGUAAACCCAACACGUUGAAGAUAAGCUCCCUGAAGGCCCGGAACUCCUCAGCAAUUUUAGCGACGGUUUCCUUGGCAGGUCCUGCAGCCUGAAUUUGAGCUCCGAGUUGGUCCAUCUUCUGACUGAAACUCUCCUCAAGACUUCUCUGUAUCGACAGUAUUUCUGAUAACUGUGACAUCUUCCUUAUAUUGUUUAUAGUGACUUUGUAAAUAUGUUAAUAUUAUUCUAUGUGCAAGUGUUGAUGGUGAUGUGGCAGGUGGUGUUAAGUACUUCAAUCAGGUUACAUUUAAGGCUCCUAAUGUAAGUACCCAAUAAUUAGGUUGUAUAAUAAAACUUUUACUAAAAAUAAUUUAAAAAACUGAAUUAAAUAUAUUUUUAAAAGGCUCAGAGAAUCUGA